GGGGCUGUAGCUCAGUGGUAGAGCAUCUGCUUUACAUGCAGGAAGUUUCAGGUUCAAUCCCUGACAUCUCCA